rnacentral:lncRNA from 1 species
AUUGAAGCAGGGCUCAAAAACAUGCUGCUCACCCCUGAGUGAAGGACCAGCCGACCUGGGUUGACCUGAGUCCCACAGAAGCCACCUCUUUCCUUUCGCUCAUGGUUUUUGUAUGUGAGAUGCAAACUUUGUUGCUGGGGCUAUCUGCGUUUUCUUUAUACAUUCAAACUCUGCUGUUUUGUUGCUGUUGAUCUAUUGUUUUGUGGUGGGUGAGGGACAGUGAGGUAUCCUGAAGCUUUUACUUCACAGACAGUUCCACAGAAAUAAAAUAAGAUUCAUGCCUAUAACCCCAGCAUUUCAGAUUUGGAGGCAAGAGGAUCUCAGGAAUUCAAGGUCAUCCUUGGCUCUACAGAGAGUUCAAGGCCAGCCUAGACUAUAUGCUUCACCUCAAAGAAAACACAAAAGCAAGGCUUUCCUCGUGGCUCAGCAGAUAAGAGUGCACAGCAUGGAAACCCAAGUUCAAGUCCUCAGUACCCAUAACAUGACCAUUGCACCCAUGAACUUGCUGCUGCUAUGAUAACCUGCACAAGAUCAGGGCAGCAUGAUCAGUCAACAUUCUAACAGACAGCACUAAUUAGACUCAAUAUGAGGGGAGAGGAAGAGGGAGAGGGAGGAAGUGAAGAAGGAAGGGCUAUGUUGGGGAGGUCUCGGCAGCAUUGGAAGGGACUUAGGAGGGGUA